CUCCCUCUUCAAUGGUAGAAACGGUCAACCCACUUUCCCACCCUCUCCAUUUUUUACGGAUCUGGCGGCGCGACGGAGGCGAGGAGGAGAGGCGAUGGUUGCGGUCGAUGCAGCAGUUCAACAGCGGCGGCGGCCGUACCCUAUGGUCAAGGAGUGGCGGCGUCCAGGCGACGGGCGGCGUGGAGGAGGCGGUGACGACGGCAUCAGGGUGCGGUGGGGCAGCGGCGGGUGACGGCGACAGCCCUCGGCAGCGGCGGGCGGACGACGACGGCCUGCUACGGGCUCGUCAGGCCAUCCCCCGCCCGGAUCCGGCGGCAACACCCGUCCCUCGCGGCAGCGUCGGGUGACGGCAACGGCCUGCGGCAGCGGUGGGCGGCUCGGGAGCAAAACCCUAGCUCCUGCCGUCGCCGCCCUCCUUCCCUCCUCUCCUCCACAUUCCCGUCGUCGAAGCGCGUCUCCAGGAGAGCCAGGCGGCGAGUCGGGAUGUCGGUGGCGGGGCCGUCUUCUCUGCCUUCCCGCGCCGGUGGACGAGGAACAGGAGGGGAUGGGGCCGGCACGUCAUCCGGCAGCGGCGCCGCGGUGAUCCGGUCGCUGCUCCCCGCCCGCUGUUGCUGCUGCUGCUGCUUUCCUGUCUUCUUGCUCUGGUUUUUCCCCUCUCAUGGCGGUUGCUCUGUCUAGAGACUACUCCUCCUUUGGAAUCCUUUUCAGUUUUGGUUGGAUUAAUUGGAGUUCGCUUUGCUGCGCGAUUGCAAUUGUUCUUGAUUGAUUUGCUUGGCUCAGAAUAGUCCAAGGCUCUGUCCUUGUUUCUCUUCGCAUACUGAUUCCUGGUUAAGAAUGGUCUUCGCUUUGUGCACUCGUUCUUCUGUCUCCACGAAGAAAAUUGGCUUUCUCAAAAACCUGCAAAACUGGAAACAAUAAAAACGAAACGAAUUGCAUAUGAUUAUUAUGUUGCUCGCAAACGGAAUAGAUUGAAUCAGCACGAUUGAUGGAUACAGUACAUAGUCCUUGCUUGUCUCUGACUUUGCUCUCUACUGAUAGGUACAGAUGAGCCUGGGAAGCAAGUCGAUCUGGAGUGCUGUCAAGAUCAAGAACAUCAGCAAGUCUAAAUGUAGCAUUUAAGGGUGAAGGUUGGAUCCUCGGUGGAGCAUGCCGAUGCUACCGACUCCACCAUGGAUGUAGCUGGCAGUGGGAUUUUGACGUCGACCGUGAGUCUUCGGCACCGGCGAUGGUAUUUGGCGAGUUGGGAUGUACUCGCUUCAUCUCAAUAUGUAGCAACCUCUUCCAGAUUUGUAGUUCUAGUAUUGGUUUAAUCUCAUCCUAGAUUGUAACAUAUUGCGACGGAGGGAGUAGUCAUUGGUUACAAUCUUCUUGAUUUUUUUUAUCAAAAUGAAUAUGUGUAUGUCUAUUUCCCAUCUGUAAUUUUUAUUGGUAAGGAACCAGCCAACACCGUAAUAUUGUAUUCAUGUUGUGUAGGAUAUAUAAUUUGAAAAAAAAACUCUUCUCAUAUAUUGUCAU